GGUAACGGAGGCGUGCGAAGGUUCGCUCAGGCUGUUUGGAAAUCAGCCGUAGAGUGCAAAGGCAGAAGCGAGCUUGACUGCGAGACCUACAAGUCGAGCAGGUGGGAAACCAGGCCUUAGUGAUCCGGUGGUUCCGCAUGGAAGGGCCAUCGCUCAACGGAUAAAAGGUACGCCGGGGAUAACAGGCUUAUCUUGGCCAAGAGUUCACAUCGACGCCAAGGUUUGGCACCUCGAUGUCGGCUCAUCGCAUCCUGGAGCUGUAGCAGGUUCCAAGGGUUCGGCUGUUCGCCGAUUAAAGCGGUACGUGAGCUGGGUUUAGAACGUCGCGAGACAGUUCGGUCCCUAUCUGCCAUGGGCGCAGGAAAUUUGAGGGGGGCUGUCCUUAGUACGAGAGGACCGGGAUGGACGAACCUCUAGUGUACCAGUUGUCGCGCCAGCGGCAGCGCUGGGUAGCUACGUUCGGAAGGGAGAAAUGCUGAAGGCAUCUAAGCGUGAAACCCUCCCCAAGAUGAGAUUUCCCGAGCCGUAAGGCUCCUAAAGGCUCCUGGAAGACUACCAGGUCGAUAGGCCAGGUGUGUAAGGCCAGCGAUGGUCUUAGCUAACUGGUACUAAUCAGCCGUGCGGCUUGACCUU
rnacentral:rRNA from 1 species